rnacentral:lncRNA from 1 species
GAGCCCAGUGAGGGUGGCUGUGGAAACCUGGGCUGGGCCAGUGAGGACAGCUGUGAACACCUGGCCUGGGUCCAACGAGAACAGCUGAGAACACUUGGUGAACAGCUGGCUGGGCCCAAGAUGAAUGGCUCUGGACACUUAAACUCAGCCCAAGAAAGACACUGUGAACAACUGGGUUAAUCCCACUGAUGACGACUAUUAACACCUGGGCUGGGCCCAAGUGAGGGCGACUUCGGCUGGACCCAGAAAAAAUGGCUGUGAGCAUAACUGGGAUCUUAUUAGAAUUAAUAUUAAUUAUACCUAUUAGUAGAUAACCCUCAAUGGGCUCCCAAAUGUAAAUUUGCAGAUUCACCAAAUAGAUUCUUUCCAGCCUGCUGAAUCUGAAGACAGGUUUAACUCUGUGAGAUUAACUUACUUAUUACAAAGCAGUUUCUCAGAUAGCUUCUUUCUAGUUUUUAUCUGUGGAUAUUCGAUUUUUCUUCAAAAAAGAAAAUGUGCUCCCUUAAGUCUUUUCGCAGACUCUACAACAAGAGCAUUUCCAACCUGCUGAAUCAAAUGAAAUGUUUCACUCUGUGAGAUGAAUCCACACAUCACAAAGCUGUUUCACAGAUAGCUUCUUCUCAGUUUUAUGUGUGCAUAUUAUGUUUUGCCACAUAGGCCUCAAUGUGCUCCAAAACAUCCCUAUGCAGAUUCUCCAAAAAGUGUGUUUCCAACCUGCUGAAUCAAAAGAAA